rnacentral:rRNA from 1 species
GGGGGGGGGGGGGGGGGGGGUGGGGGCGGGGGGGUCGGGGGGGGUCGUGGGGGCUGGCGCCGGUGAGGUGGUGGCCGACGGGGUGGUGACGCGUGGGCAGCUGCCCAUCCGUUCGGCAUACCUUUUGGAAAUCAAAGCUAAUCCCGUAUAUGCUCUCCAGCGGACAUGUGUAUCGCUGAUGGGUGCGCCCGCGUCAGAUGCGGUAGUUGGUGCGGUAACGGCGCCCCAAGCCGACGAUCUGUAGCUGGUAUGAGAGGAUGUUCAGACACACUGGGACUGAGACACGGCCCAGACUCCUACGGGAGGCAGCAGUGGUGAAUAUUGGACAAUGGGCGAAAUCCUGAUCCAGCAAUACCGAGUGAGUGAUAAAGGCACUAGGGUUGUAAAGCUCUUUUAGCAAGGAAGAUAAUGACGUUACUUGCAGAAAAAGCCCCGGCUAACUCCGUG